ACGUAGCGUUCCUGGCUUUCUGCUGAAAGACAAAAGGUGGCCUGAGAAUUAUAUGAGUCCCGAGAAAGUUCUAUCAACUCAGAACCAGGUUUCGGGAUAUUAUCAAUGUCCUUGUUAAUAAUGUCAUUCAUGAUAUGUGGACUAUUAGUAAGAUAAAGAUUAAAGAAGGACCAAAAGUUAUUUAAUGCCAAUAUUAAAGAAGAGUCGAGUGAGAGUUUUUGGUAAAACGAUUGAAAAUUAUGCAAAUUAAAAGAUUUAUGUAACAUGGAUAAUGUCUUUAAAGAAGGGCUUGAAUCAAAUAUUUCCCAGGCAGUAUCUAGCAAAGGUUUUAAAGCAUGAACAUGUGGAAAGGUGGUACAUAUAGCCAUGGCAAAUACAGAGCCACCUCUGCGGGUUCCUUCGACUCUUUUCGCGCGAAUCGUGUUUAAAACAUAAUACAUGUUUGAAUCCGAAGGCUCAAAAUUUAUAUCGUCUACAUUCGAGAACAAAGAAAAUACGUUAGAUUUUUUGGAAAAAUGAAUAAAAAAAAGACUCCAAUCCUCUCUGCGUUCGUGGACUCUGUCAGGAAGCAUUAAUUCGGCAAGAAAGUGAAGAUCGGAAGCUUCGCCGUUUUCCGGGCAUUGAUAUUGCAAAACAGGGCCAC